CUUUUUUAAAAAAAUGAGUUAAAAUCUUUUAAAAAAAUAAAAUAAAAAAUAAAUGCUAAAUAUACAUGAAGAUGUGAAAAACAUGUUGGAUUUGUGGAAUCGCUAAUGACCACGGUUAAAUGGCGGGAUCCAAAAUCUGGUUAGAUUUCACAAUGUCAUAUUAAUUUAAUAUUUAUAAAAA
rnacentral:sRNA from 1 species